UUUUAAAUUUGGGAGUUCUCUCUCUCUGUCACCUCCUGUUAACGAUACAGACUCAGGGACAAUGGUUUCACUUGGAUUUAAGAUAUCCCAGGAGAAUGUUUCAUCCUUAAUACUGACUGGUGGAAUGAAUAAUGAGUUUUUGCUGUCUUUGAAUGACGGCUAUGUUGAAAUGAGUGACAAUAAGAAAAAAUUAACAUCCACAAACCAAUGCGAAACUGGAAAAUGGCAUUACAUAACAGCCUACAGAAGUGGAGCGGGGAUGCAGCUAAACGUUGACAACACAGAUAUUGGAAAUCCACCACCACCAUCAUCAUCAACCACAUUCACUGAACUUGGGGAAAAUGUGAUUUUAGGGGAUGGUUUAUUUGAAGGCUGUUUGAGGAACCUGUAUAUACGGAGUCUACAGACCGAAUACAUUCCGGCCGACUUGAGCAGAUUCAAUCAGACUGGAAAUGUAUCUCUGGGAUUUUGUAAAGCAGAGCGCCCCCCUCUGGACUCUACUAAGAAGCGUGCCAGACAUGCUGGAAUUACAUUCAACAGCGAUUCGGGAAGAUCUAAACAAGGCUGUAGAAACCCAAAGUCCGUCAAAAACACCUACCAC
rnacentral:lncRNA from 1 species